rnacentral:lncRNA from 1 species
CGCUGGAGGGGACCGACUCACGUCCCAACGCCCUUGACGGUCGGCAAUCGAUCAGGAACAGAAGCAGCAGGAAGAAGAGAGAGAGGCAUUUUACACACACACACACACAUACACACCACACACACGCACACACACCUCACACACACACAUACACACCACACACACAAACAGACACACCACACAAACGCGCACACACACACACCACACACACUCACCCACACACCACACACACACACCACACACACACACCACACACAACAUACACACACACCACACAAAACAUACACCCACACAACACAUACACUCACACACACACCACACACAACACAAUACACACCACACACACAAACAGACACACCACACAAACGCACACACACACACACACACUCUCACCACUUACACACUACACUACACACACCACACACACACACCUCACACACACAAACAAACACACCACACACAUACACACCACCACACACACACCUCACACACACACAAACAGACACACCACACACACACAUACACACCACCACACACACAAACAGACACACCACACAAACGCACACCACACACACACACACACACCACACAAACCACACACCACAACAACACACACAACACACACACCACACACACACACAAACAUACACACCACACACACGCACACAGACCUCACACACACACAUACACACCACACACACACAAACAGACACACCACACAAACGCGCACACACACACACCACACACACUCACCACUUACACACUACACUACACACACCACACACACACACACACACAUACACACCACACACACACACACCACACACACACAUACACAUCAUUCACACACACACCACACACACACACAUACACACCACACACACACAAACAGACACACCACACAAACGCACACACACACACCACACACACUCACCACUUACACACUACACUACACACACCACACACACACACACCUCACACACACAAACAGACACACCACACACAUACACACACCACACACAUCACUUACACACACACACACUACACACCACACACAUACAUACAUACACACGCACAAAUAAUAAACAAGCUCCAGAAGGAAAA